rnacentral:tRNA from 1 species
GGGGGUGGAGGGGAACUGGUGUUCCCAGCGGUCUUCAAAACCGUGUAGCCCGGCUAGAACCCGGGUGGGUGGGUUCGAUUCCCACACGCUCCCGCCA